rnacentral:RNase_P_RNA from 2 species
AAAGUUUGACAGACAAUCGCUGGCGGCUUCGAGCUGCGAGAGGAAAGUCCGGGCUCCAUAGGGCAGAAUGCUGGAUAACGUCCAGUCAGCGCGAGCUGAAGGAUCAGGGCCACAGAAAUGGACCGCCGAUGGCCUUUAAAACCCCACAAAGUGACGUGAUGCUUCGAAGCAUAUUCCGAUUACUUUCCGGGGACCCCAACGGGAAAUAGGCACAGGCAAGGAUGGAACCGUGGUGUAAGAGACCACGAGGAACACUGGCGACUUUGUUCCUGGUAAACCCCAUUUGGAGCAAGACCGAAGAGAACGCCGCAUUUAACUGCAGCCCUUGCCCGGGGUGCGUUCGGGUUGGUCGCUUGAGCCGUUCAGCAAUGGACGGCCUAGAAAGAUGAUUGUCGCUUCUCUAGUGGGAGGCCGGCGCAAGCCGUCCGCGAUCACCACCGGAAGCACAGAACCCGGCUUACGGCAAUCUUUCCGG